rnacentral:rRNA from 1 species
GACGAACGCUGGCGGCGUGCUUAUCACAUGCAAGUCGAACGGUGAACGAGGGAGCUUGCUCCCUCCGGAUCAGUGGCGAACGGGUGAGUAACACGUGAGCAAUCUGCCCCGAACUCUGGGAUAAGCGUUGGAAACGACGUCUAAUACCGGAUACGACGCGGGAGGGCAUCCUCUCCGCGUGGAAAGAACUUCGGUUCGGGAUGAGCUCGCGGCCUAUCAGCUUGUUGGUGAGGUAACGGCUCACCAAGGCGACGACGGGUAGCCGGCCUGAGAGGGUGACCGGCCACACUGGGACUGAGACACGGCCCAGACUCCUACGGGAGGCAGCAGUGGGGAAUAUUGCACAAUGGGCGCAAGCCUGAUGCAGCAACGCCGCGUGAGGGACGACGGCCUUCGGGUUGUAAACCUCUUUUAGCAGGGAAGAAGCGAAAGUGACGGUACCUGCAGAAAAAGCACCGGCUAACUACGUG